GACAGAGGGUGCAAACGUUGCUCGGAAUCACUGGGCGUAAAGGGCGUGUAGGCGGGAAGGCAAGUCAGAUGUGAAAUCCCUGGGCUCAACCCAGGAACUGCAUUUGAAACUCCCUUUCUUGAGUACCGGAGAGGAAGGUGGAAUUCCUGGUGUAGAGGUGAAAUUCGUAGAUAUCAGGAGGAACACCGGUGGCGAAGGCGGCCUUCUGGACGGUAACUGACGCUGAGACGCGAAAGCGUGGGGAGCAAACAGG
rnacentral:rRNA from 1 species